rnacentral:lncRNA from 1 species
UGUUUUUUUCAAUGAUGGGAAAACACACCCAAGCCAGGGAAAUUUAGGGUGGAAAAAACCUUGGCAAUAUAAGCGCUGAGGCAGAAGAGAUGGUUUCUUAUUUUUCUCUGGGUCCUGAGUGCUUAAUACAGCGCUUGAAAAUACAUCAAAAUAAAUCUGGCACAGCCUACUCGUUUUACAAAAUAGAUGCAGUUUCUGUGAAUAAUGACCCAUUGCCCUGGUUCUUAUUAGUCCCAUUUUACAGAUGUGUAAACUGACACUCAGAGAGGCGAAGUGACUUUCCUAUAGUGAAGUAGUAAAUGAUAGAGCCAAGAUUCCAACUCACUCCUUCCAGUGGAUUUUUGCUUCUGAAUUCACAGCAGUGCUGGCUCUAGAAUGCCAGUGAAGGAGAGACUUCAGGGCACAAACAGUCUGGUUGGAAGGAGGAGGAGGAGCAGUCGGGAGACUAGCCUUGAAUUCCUGCCUUCCUUUGGAUUGCAUAUCUCUUUGGAGUGGUUGGAGGUGGGAGGGGGCAUGCUGAGGUCAUAGCACAGUUUACGAGGAGAGGGCAGAGUUGAGGUGGGGAUUCUGAAUUCUAAGCUGAUUCUUGACCUCCAUCAGUACUGUCAACAAGACCCACCUGGAGGAAGCUAUCCUAGGGCUGGCAGGAGAGGUUUCAACUCUCCCGUCCAAGAGUCCUGUGGGUACCAGAGGCUGGGAGCUGUUGUGUCUUUCACCAACGAGGAAGUCAAUUAUGCACUGAAGGAGGAGGUGGAGAUGAAAUCUCAGUUUCAAGGCGGAGGUGUGUGGAGAGGAGAAAAAAAGACUGUGAGCAGAGGGAGGGAGUUCCUGCAAAGCAGUGCUUUCCUCCACUCCCACCCCAACGGCAGAAGAGGAGGCCUGGUGGGAAACGGGUGGGGGUGCAAGUGCAGUAACCAGCAGGCUGGCUGAAAGAAGCCUCUCGUGGGUAUUUAUAGAGCUCGCAUCGCCAUGGUACCCAGGCGCUUAAAUUAAAUUCCAUCCCAACUGCUUAGAGACGGGUGGAAUGAAAUGUUCUUUACCUGUCCACUGCUCGCGGUGUGACACCUCAUUCUCAGAAUUUCAGAUGAGCAAUCUGAGUGAAUUUUACAAGCUACCAACGAGUAGGGUUGAGGCUUAAACCCAGAUCACUUGCCUCAACAGGGUGGCUGGGUGGAGUAGUGGCAAGUACAUGGACAGAAAAAAAUAAAUCCGAGUGUGAAACUUGGCUCUGCA